rnacentral:rRNA from 1 species
GAUGAACGCUGGCGGCGUGCCUAAUACAUGCAAGUCGAGCGAACGGACGAGAAGCUUGCUUCUCUGAUGUUAGCGGCGGACGGGUGAGUAACACGUGGAUAACCUACCUAUAAGACUGGGAUAACUUCGGGAAACCGGAGCUAAUACCGGAUAAUAUUUUGAACCGCAUGGUUCAAAAGUGAAAGACGGUCUUGCUGUCACUUAUAGAUGGAUCCGCGCUGCAUUAGCUAGUUGGUAAGGUAACGGCUUACCAAGGCAACGAUGCAUAGCCGACCUGAGAGGGUGAUCGGCCACACUGGAACUGAGACACGGUCCAGACUCCUACGGGAGGCAGCAGUAGGGAAUCUUCCGCAAUGGGCGAAAGCCUGACGGAGCAACGCCGCGUGAGUGAUGAAGGUCUUCGGAUCGUAAAACUCUGUUAUUAGGGAAGGACAUAUGUGUAAGUAACUGUGCACAUCUUGACGGUACCUAAUCAGAAAGCCACGGCUAACUACGUGCCAGCAGCCGCGGUAAUACGUAGGUGGCAAGCGUUAUCCGGAAUUAUUGGGCGUAAAGCGCGCGUAGGCGGUUUUUUAAGUCUGAUGUGAAAGCCCACGGCUCAACCGUGGAGGGUCAUUGGAAACUGGAAAACUUGAGUGCAGAAGAGGAAAGUGGAAUUCCAUGUGUAGCGGUGAAAUGCGCAGAGAUAUGGAGGAGCACCAGUGGCGAAGGCGACUUUCUGGUCUGUAACUGACGCUGAUGUGCGAAAGCGUGGGGAUCAAACAGGAUUAGAUACCCUGGUAGUCCACGCCGUAAACGAUGAGUGCUAAGUGUUAGGGGGUUUCCGCCCCUUAGUGCUGCAGCUAACGCAUUAAGCACUCCGCCUGGGGAGUACGACCGCAAGGUUGAAACUCAAAGGAAUUGACGGGGACCCGCACAAGCGGUGGAGCAUGUGGUUUAAUUCGAAGCAACGCGAAGAACCUUACCAAAUCUUGACAUCCUUUGACAACUCUAGAGAUAGAGCCUUCCCCUUCGGGGGACAAAGUGACAGGUGGUGCAUGGUUGUCGUCAGCUCGUGUCGUGAGAUGUUGGGUUAAGUCCCGCAACGAGCGCAACCCUUAAGCUUAGUUGCCAUCAUUAAGUUGGGCACUCUAAGUUGACUGCCGGUGACAAACCGGAGGAAGGUGGGGAUGACGUCAAAUCAUCAUGCCCCUUAUGAUUUGGGCUACACACGUGCUACAAUGGACAAUACAAAGGGCAGCGAAACCGCGAGGUCAAGCAAAUCCCAUAAAGUUGUUCUCAGUUCGGAUUGUAGUCUGCAACUCGACUACAUGAAGCUGGAAUCGCUAGUAAUCGUAGAUCAGCAUGCUACGGUGAAUACGUUCCCGGGUCU